CAGUCGAACGGACUCAUAUUGAAACCUAGUGAUUUAUGAGUUAGUGGCGGACGGGUGAGUAACGCGUGGAUAACCUACCGUAUACCGGGGGAUAACACUUAGAAAUAGGUGCUAAUACCGCAUAAGCGCACGGCUCCGCAUGGGGCAGUGUGAAAGACUCCGGUGGUAUACGAUGGAUCCGCGUCUGAUUAGCUAGUUGGCGGGGUAACGGCCCACCAAAGCGACGAUCGGUAGCCGGCCUGAGAGGGCGGACGGCCACAUUGGGACUGAGACACGGCCCAAACUCCUACGGGAGGCAGCAGUGGGGAAUAUUGCACAAUGGGGGAAACCCUGAUGCAGCGACGCCGCGUGAGUGAAGAAGUAUCUCGGUACGUAAAGCUCUAUCAGCAGGGAAGAUAAUGACGGUACCUGACCAAGAAGCCCCGGCUAACUACGUGCCAGCAGCCGCGGUAAUACGUAGGGGGCAAGCGUUAUCCGGAUUUACUGGGUGUAAAGGGAGCGUAGACGGCAGCACAAGUCUGGAGUGAAAUCCCGGGGCUUAACCCCGGAACUGCUUUGGAAACUGUGCGGCUGGAGUGCAGGAGGGGUAAGCGGAAUUCCUAGUGUAGCGGUGAAAUGCGUAGAUAUUAGGAGGAACACCGAUUGCGAAGGCAGCUUACCAAGCUACUUCUGACGUUGAGGCACGAAAGCGUGGGGAGCAAACAGGAUUAGAUACCCUGGUAGUCCACGCAGUAAACGAUGAUAGCUCGUUGUCGGCGAUACAUUGUCGGUG
rnacentral:rRNA from 1 species